CAUACUGAAAUACAAGUUCUCGUCUGAUCACUGAAGUUAAACAACAUCAAGCCUGGUCAGUGCCUUGAUGGGUAACCACUUGAGAAUACCAGGUGCUGUAAG